rnacentral:rRNA from 1 species
UGGGGAAUAUUGGACAAUGGGCGAAAGCCUGAUCCAGCCAUGCCGCGUGUGUGAAGAAGGUCUUCGGAUUGUAAAGCACUUUAAGUUGGGAGGAAGGGCAGUAAGCUAAUACCUUGCUGUUUUGACGUUACCGACAGAAUAAGCACCGGCUAACUCUGUGCCAGCAGCCGCGGUAAUACAGAGGGUGCAAGCGUUAAUCGGAAUUACUGGGCGUAAAGCGCGCGUAGGUGGUGUGUUAAGUUGGAUGUGAAAGCCCCGGGCUCAACCUGGGAACUGCAUCCAAAACUGGCAGGCUAGAGUACGGUAGAGGGUGGUGGAAUUUCCUGUGUAGCGGUGAAAUGCGUAGAUAUAGGAAGGAACACCAGUGGCGAAGGCGACCACCUGGACUGAUACUGACACUGAGGUGCGAAAGCGUGGGGAGCAAACA